rnacentral:rRNA from 1 species
AGAGUUUGAUCAUGGCUCAGAACGAACGCUGGCGGCGUGGAUAAGACAUGCAAGUCGGACGAGACUUUUCGUUGUAGCAAUACGAUGGAAAGUCUAGUGGCGAACGGGUGCUUAACACGUGGGCAACCUGCCAGGAAGUGGGGGACAGCUCGCCGAAAGGCGGAUUAAUACCGCAUGUGAUUAGAGAGGACAUCCUUCCGAAAUUAAAGUCGGGGCAACCUGACGCUUCUUGUGGGGCCCGCGGCCUAUCAGCUAGUUGGUGAGGUAACGGCUCACCAAGGCUUUGACGGGUAGCUGGUCUGAGAGGACGACCAGCCACACUGGGACUGAGACACGGCCCAGACACCUACGGGUGGCAGCAGUCGAGAAUUUUUGACAAUGGGGGAAACCCUGAUCGAGCGACGCCGCGUGGAGGAUGAAGGUCUUCGGAUUGUAAACUCCUGUCAUUGGGGAACAAUGCGCAAAUAUUAACUGUAUUUGUGUUGAUAGUACCCGAAGAGGAAGAGACGGCUAACUCUGUGCCAGCAGCCGCGGUAAUACAGAGGUCUCAAGCGUUGUUCGGAUUCAUUGGGCGUAAAGGGUGCGUAGGCGGCGCGGUAAGUCGGGUGUGAAAUCUCGGAGCUUAACUCCGAAACUGCAUUCGAUACUGCCGUGCUUGAGGACUGGAGAGGAGACUGGAAUUUACGGUGUAGCGGUGAAAUGCGUAGAUAUCGUAAGGAAGACCAGUGGCGAAGGCGGGUCUCUGGACAGUUCCUGACGCUGAGGCACGAAGGUCAGGGGAGCAAACGGGAUUAGAUACCCUAGUAGUCC